rnacentral:rRNA from 1 species
AAGGAUCAUUACAGAGUUCAUGCCCUCACGGGUAGAUCUCCCACCCUUGAAUAUUAUACCUUAGUUGCUUUGGCAGGCCGGGGCAACCCCCGGGGCUUCGGCCUUGGUGUGCCUGCCAGAGGAAACAAACUCUGUUUUUAGUGAUGUCUGAGUACUAUAUAAUAGUUAAAACUUUCAACAACGGAUCUCUUGGUUCUGGCAUCGAUGAAGAACGCAGCGAAAUGCGAUAAGUAAUGUGAAUUGCAGAAUUCAGUGAAUCAUCGAAUCUUUGAACGCACAUUGCGCCCCGUGGUAUUCCGCGGGGCAUGCCUGUUCGAGCGUCAUUUCAACCCAUCAAGCUUCGGCUUGGUCUUGGGGCCUGCGAUUCCGCAGCCUCUAAACCCAGUGGCGGUGCCUCCGAGCUCUGAGCGUAGUAAUUCUUCUCGCUAUAGGGUCUCGGUGGUGUCUUGCCAGUAACCCCCAAUUUUUUACAGGUUGACCUCGGAUCAGGUAGGGAUACCCGCUGAACUUAAGCAUAUCAAUAAGCGGAGGAAAAGAAACCAACAGGGAUUACCUCAGUAACGGCGAGUGAAGCGGUAACAGCUCAAAUUUGAAAUCUGCCGCAAGGCCGAGUUGUAAUUUGUAGAAGAUGCUUUGGGUAUGGCCCCGGUCUAAGUUCGUUGGAACACGACGUCAUAGAGGGUGAGAAUCCCGUAUGUGACUGGGUGCCUUUGCCUAUGUAAAGCUCUUUCGACGAGUCGAGUUGUUUGGGAAUGCAGCUCAAAAUGGGUGGUAUAUUUCAUCUAAAGCUAAAUAUUGGCCAGAGACCGAUAGCGCACAAGUAGAGUGAUCGAAAGAUGAAAAGCACUUUGGAAAGAGAGUUAAACAGUACGUGAAAUUGUUGAAAGGGAAGCGCUUGCAACCAGACUUGCACGCUGUUGAUCAUCCAGGCUUCUGUCUGGUGCACUCGGCAGCGUUCAGGCCAGCAUCGGUUCUGGUGGUGGGAUAAAGGCCUUGGGAAUGUAGCUUCUUUCGGGGAGUGUUAUAGCCCUCGGUGCAAUGCCGCCUAUCGGGACCGAGGACCGCGCUUCGGCUAGGAUGCUGGCGUAAUGGUUGUAAGCGACC